rnacentral:tRNA from 1 species
GGAGACGUGGCAGAGCGGCCGAAUGCACUGGUCUUGAAAACCAGCGUGGGUUAAACCACCGCGGGUUCAAAUCCCGCCGUCUCCG